rnacentral:rRNA from 1 species
AACGAACGCUGGCGGCAGGCCUAACACAUGCAAGUCGAGCGAGAUCUUCGGGUCUAGCGGCGGACGGGUGAGUAACGCGUGGUAAUAUGCCUCUUGGUACGGAAUAGCCUCGUGAAACUGGGAGUAAUACCGUAUGUGCCCUUUGGGGGAAAGAUUUAUCGCCAAGAGAUUAGCCCGCGUUGGAUUAGGUAGUUGGUGGGGUAAUGGCCUACCAAGCCGACGAUCCAUAGCUGGUUUGAGAGGAUGAUCAGCCACACUGGGACUGAGACACGGCCCAGACUCCUACGGGAGGCAGCAGUGGGGAAUCUUAGACAAUGGGGGCAACCCUGAUCUAGCCAUGCCGCGUGAGUGAUGAAGGCCUUAGGGUUGUAAAGCUCUUUCAGCUGGGAAGAUAAUGACGGUACCAGCAGAAGAAGCCCCGGCUAACUCCGUG